GGUCUGAGAGGAUGAUCAGCCACACUGGAACUGAGACACGGUCCAGACUCCUACGGGAGGCAGCAGUGGGGAAUAUUGGACAAUGGGCGCAAGCCUGAUCCAGCCAUACCGCGUGGGUGAAGAAGGCCUUCGGGUUGUAAAGCCCUUUUGUUGGGAAAGAAAUCCAGCUGGCUAAUACCCGGUUGGGAUGACGGUACCCAAAGAAUAAGCACCGGCUAACUUCGUGCCAGCAGCCGCGGUAAUACGAAGGGUGCAAGCGUUACUCGGAAUUACUGGGCGUAAAGCGUGCGUAGGUGGUCGUUUAAGUCCGUUGUGAAAGCCCUGGGCUCAACCUGGGAACUGCAGUGGAUACUG
rnacentral:rRNA from 3 species